UCCGGCUGACGCGUCCCAAAUAGGACGAAACGCGAGUCCUGGAU
rfam:Schistosoma mattheei strain Denwood, Zambia genome assembly, scaffold: SMTD_scaffold0010805